rnacentral:rRNA from 1 species
AUUGAACGCUGGCGGCAGGCCUAACACAUGCAAGUCGAGCGGAUGAGUGGAGCUUGCUCCAUGAUUCAGCGGCGGACGGGUGAGUAAUGCCUAGGAAUCUGCCUGGUAGUGGGGGACAACGUUUCGAAAGGAACGCUAAUACCGCAUACGUCCUACGGGAGAAAGUGGGGGAGCGUCGGACCUCACGCUAUCAGAGGAGCCUAAGUCGGAUUAGCUAGUUGGUGAGGUGAAGGCUCACCAAGGCGACGAUCCGUAAAUGGUCUGAGAGGAUGAUCAGACACAGUGGAACUGAGACACGGUCCAGACUCCUACGGGAGGCAGCAGUGGGGAAUAUUGGACAAUGGGCGAAAGCCUGCUCCAGCCAUGCCGCGUGUGUGAAGAAGGUCUUCGGAUUGUAAAGCACUUUAAGUUGGGAGGAAGGGCAGUAAGUUAAUACCUUGCUGUUUUGACGUUACCAACAGAAUAAGCACCGGCUAACUUCGUGCCAGCCGCCGCAGUAACAC